rnacentral:rRNA from 1 species
GUGCCAGCAGCCGCGGUAAUACGAAAGGGGCAAGCGUUGUUCGGAUUACUGGGCGUAAAGGGCACGCAGGCGGUCUUGCCAGUCAGGGGUGAAAGCCCGGGGCUCAACCCCGGAACUGCCUCUGAUACUGCAGGACUAGAGACUAGGAGAGGGUGGUGGAAUUCCCAGUGUAGAGGUGAAAUUCGUAGAUAUUGGGAGGAACACCAGAGGCGAAGGCGGCCACCUGGACUAGAUCUGACGCUCAGGUGCGAAAGCGUGGGGAGCAAACAGGAUUAGAAACCCUCGUAGUCC